UGGCAAAAGUCUACUCUGCUUAGGUUC
rnacentral:piRNA from 1 species